rnacentral:rRNA from 1 species
AUACGUAGGUGGCAAGCGUUAUCCGGAUUUACUGGGCGUAAAGGGAGCGUAGGCGGAUAUUUAAGUUGAGAUGUGAAAUACCCGAGCUCAACUUGGGUGCUGCAUUUCAAACUGGAUAUCUAGAGUGCAGGAGAGGAAAGCGGAAUUCCUAGUGUAGCGGUGAAAUGCGUAGAGAUUAGGAAGAACACCAGUGGCGAAGGCGCUUCUCUGGACUGUAACUGACGCUGAGGCUCGAAAGCGU